rnacentral:misc_RNA from 1 species
GAUGAAGAACGUAGCGAAAUGCGAUACUUGGUGUGAAUUGCAGAAUCCCGUGAACCAUCGAGUCUUUGAACGCAAGUUGCGCCCGAAGCCAUUAGGCCGAGGGCACGCCUGCCUGGGCGUCACACGUCGUUGCCCCCCAUCUACUCCUUCGGGAUUGCGGGGGGCGGAUGAUGGCCUCCCGUGCGCCUCGUCGCGCGGUUGGCAUAAAUGCCAAGUCCUCGGCGAUGCACGCCACGACAAUCGGUGGUUGCGAAACCUCGGUUGCCCGUCGUGUGCGGUCGUCGCGCAUCGAGGGCUCGAAAAAAUUGCCGGGCUCCGGCUCGGCUUUCAACGCGACCCCAGGUCAGGCGGGGUUACCCGCUGAAUUUAAGCAUAUCAAUAAGCGGAGGA